GCCAACGCUUCCCCCGCGGGCGGGCGGGCGCGGGGAGCGGUUGGCGCGCGUGUGUUCGCGCAGUGGGAUGCCGGUGGGAGGGCGAGUGUACCCAGGGACGCGCGCGAAUCCCUGCGGGUAGACGAAGGCGCGGCUGCAUGUGUGGGGGCAGCUCGCGGGCUGCGGAGCCUCCUGUGUUUGUGUUUGGGGUUUAUCAAAGUGGUUAAGCUCCUAAAUUCUUUAGCCAAGAGCUAUGUACCCAACAGGCAGACUGCUCAGUCCGUGGAUAUUGUGUAAAUGUCUGGAAUGUACACCUGGUACCUCUCCCCUGGUAUCCACAGUUUAACAAAGUAAAUAGAAGAUCUCAAGGAGGAGUAUGCCUUGCAGACUUGGAGGGAGUGGUGAAAGAUGAACGGGCAGUGCUCAGCCACAAGGGGAGAAAAACGUCAUCCAGGCCCCAGAAUAGCAACAGCAAUAAAUAUGGUCAUGUCGCUCUUCUGCUGAGGCUGAAACGACAGACAGGAUCACAUUUGCAGCACCAAACAGGCCUACUGGCGACCAAGGGCUGGCUCAGGAGUUGGGAGGAAACAUGUACAGAAACUGAUGCUGACCAAGAGCCUUGAUUUUGGAGAUGUGAUGUAGCUUAUGAAGAAAAGGGCACAGAACCCACUGCAGACCUAGAGGGGGCUCUACACCCUCCUGGCCACUGGGGAGUAAGUUCUAAAUCAGCUUUUCGGACAGCUGGCUCAGGGCUCUUGAGAGCUGAGCCGUGAACUUCCUUGCACGUCUGCCUGAGAACUUGCUGUUAUCUGCAGCUGCCACAGCCAUCAAGGCACAUGUGUAAUGAGGAAGGUGAAAAAGAGGGCUCUUGUUGGUCAUCAGUUAUUUAAAGAGGGCCCAUUGGAUUUCAGCUACUUCAUUGUACGGAAUCAGCACCUUUGCUCCGGGGAGGUCUUAGAGGAAGGGGCACCUCCCUCCCUUUAAAACUACUCAAGUCUCCCUUUCCAGACCAAGCUUUGGGGCUCCAGCCAUUUCUGGGACUUCUGGUGCUUCAUCUCCAUCUGUCUCAUUUCAUGUAUAUUUCAAUUUCAUAUUACUAUAUGGCCAUGUCUCUGGGUGGUGGU